rnacentral:rRNA from 1 species
GAGUUUGAUCAUGGCUCAGGACGAACGCUGGCGGCGUGGAUUAGGCAUGCAAGUCGAACGGUAGAGGUUCCUUCGGGGAUCUUGAGAGCGGCGAACGGGUGAGUAACGCGUAGGUUAUCUACCCUCAAAUUGGGGACAACCCAGGGAAACUUGGGCUAAUACCGAAUGAGAGUGCUCUUCGGAGUAUUUAAAAGAUGGCAGUAAUGCUGUUGUUUGAGGAUGAGCCUGCGUCCCAUUAGUUAGUUGGUGAGGUAACGGCUCACCAAGGCGAUGAUAGGUAGGCGGCCUUAACGGGUGGUCGCCCACACUGGGAUUGAGAUACGGCCCAGACUCCUACGGGAGGCAGCAGUCGAGAAUAGUCUACAAUGGUCGAAAGACUGAUAGUGCGACGCCGCGUGAACGAUGAAGUCCUUCGGGGCGUAAAGUUCUUUUAUAUGUGAGCAAUGCCAGAUAUAUGAAUAGUAUGUUUGGAGCGAUAUUAGCAUAUGAAUAAGCAACGGCUAACUCCGUGCCAGCAGCCGCGGUAACACGGGGGUUGCAAGCGUUGUCCGGAAUUACUAGGCGUAAAGGGCAGGUAGGCGGAUCUAUAAGUUUAAUGUUAAAGGCGACGGCUUACCCGUCGUAAGGCGUUAGAUACUGUAGAUCUGGAAUACGGUUGGGGAAGACAGAAUUCCUGGUGUAGCGGUGGAAUGCGCAGAGAUCAGGAGGAAUACCGAAGGCGAAGGCAGUCUUCUAAGCCGUUAUUGACGCUAAACUGCGAAGGUGUGGGUAUCAAACAGGAUUAGAUACCCUGGUAGUCCACAGUAAACGAUAAUCACUAGGUGUCGGGUUCGUAGAGAAUUCGGUGCCGUAGCUAACGCGAUAAGUGAUUCGCCUGGGGAGUACGAUCGCAAGGUUGAAACUCAAAGGAAUUGACG